rnacentral:rRNA from 1 species
UACGUAGGGGGCUAGCGUUGUCCGGAAUCAUUGGGCGUAAAGAGCGCGUAGGCGGCCAGAUAAGUCCGGUGUGAAAGUCAAAGGCUCAACCUUUGAAUGCCGCUGGAAACUGUCUGGCUAGAGUCCGGGAGGGGCGAGUGGAAUUCCUGGUGUAGCGGUGAAAUGCGCAGAUAUCAGGAGGAACACCAAUGGCGAAGGCAGCUCGCUGGAACGGUACUGACGCUGAGGAGCGAAAGCGUGGGGAGCGAACAGG